CGCAGCCGCGGUAAUUCCAGCUCCAAUAGCGUAUAUUAAAGUUGUUGCAGUUAAAAAGCUCGUAGUUGAAUUUCGGGGUUAGCAGGUCGGUCGUGCCAUCGGUAUGAACUGGUCUCGCUGAUCCCUCCCUCUUGACGAACUGUGAUGCCAUUAAUUUGGUGUCGCAGGGAAUCAGGCUGUUACUUUGAAAAAUUAGAGUGUUUAAAGCAGGCUCACGCUUGAAUACAUUAGCAUGGAAUAAUGAAAUAGGACGUUUGAUCCUAUUUUGUUGGUUUCUAGGAUUGACGUAAUGAUUAAUAGGGAUAGUUGGGGGCAUUAGUAUUCAAUUGUCAGAGGUGAAAUUCUUGGAUUUAUUGAAGACUAACUACUGCGAAAGCAUUUGCCAAGGAUGUUUUCAUUAAUCAAGGACGAAAGUUAGGGGGAUCGAAGACGAUCAGAUACCGUCGUAGUCUUAACCAUAAACUAUGCCGACUAGGGAUCGGAUGAUGUUUAAUUUUUUAAUGUACUCA
rnacentral:rRNA from 1 species